GGCCAUAUCACGUCGAAACACCAAUUCCCGUACGAUCACCGAUGUUAAGCAACAUCGAGCCUGGUUACUACCUAGAUGGGUGACCGCUUGGGGAUAUCAGGUGCUGUAAG